GCCAAUGUAGCUCAAUGAAAGAGCAUCGCCCCUCGUAUUUUCCUCGCACUCUGCUAAAGGCGAAGAUGUAGGUUCGAAUCCUACCAUUGGUA